AAAAGUUGGAGUGGAUGUGAAAAGUCCAUUAAAAGGACAUCUCCAGACGAGAUCCUCUGCCAGCAAUACAGCUUCUGUAUAGCUGCCUACUUGAGAGACUUUGAAAUUGUUCACCGGUAACUUUCCUGGCUUUAUCUGCAACUUGCUGCUUGCCACCCAUGUUAUGCUGAGUCUCAUCAUUUCACUGUAAAUGUACAGAAGCACCCUGAUUUAUCGGCUGUAAGCGGGGAAGCCCUUGAGAUGGCACUUGGUAGACAGGCAAGGGAGCCUGGAGCAUGCAGCAAACAGGCUACAAACAACACUGAUUUUCCUCACAUCACUCAGAUGAUUUCCCACUGUCAGCCCAGAGAGCAUGAACAAGCAGUUCUGGUUAUGUG
rnacentral:lncRNA from 1 species